CCCCUCUCUCUCUCCCAACUCAUUUUCCCUCCAAUUUCUCUUCCUCUCCCGCCAAUUUCAGUUUCUCCCGCCGAUUUCUGAGUUCUGGGCCUUCUGGCUCUUUUCCCGCUGAGUUCUAUCGAGGGCAUCCAGAGAAGAGGGAAGCGGCGAUUUCAGCGCCUAGGCGACGUUCCUGGGCGCCUUAGUCCUAAUUCUAAGGCGAGAACGACGCCUUGAGGUCGCUGGGCGCUUCGACGCCUAAGCGUCGACUAGGCGACACUUUGAAAACCAUGGUCGUGAGUCUAGUUUAUAGUCAGUAAGCACUUGUAUACGUCUCGAAAAGGUUGGAACAUUUGGGUAUGCCAUAUGGGAUAUCCAUAGUUGAAACUUUCCGACGACAAAAACAACAUUUUGGUUGAUGCCAUUGGUUGUCGAAACUCAUUCACAAAAUGGCAUUCAUGACAUAGUUUUCUUAAAAUGGUAAAAAUGUUCUCUGCUCCUGCUAAUUAGAUCCAAGAGCAUCGCCUACCUCAUGGAUGUGUCUGCUAACCAUCUAGACCAUGCAUCCAGGAAGAUAAUGCACUUGUGUAGUGCAUGAAGCAAGAAGGCUUAAGACUCCUGCAGAACAUUGCAACAGAACACAAUUUUUUGUGCUAAUGAACAAGUAUUUGAUCUUGCUUACCAUGAUGAGCGACACAUCGAACAUUCAGAAGUAUCGUGCCUCCUUGGCAAUGUAGUGUGUUCCAUGAUGUCCUCUCAUGAGUGGCGCACUGUGGCCUUAUUUCCUCCUCCCACCACGCCAUGUGCUGGUGUCAUUAUCCUCUCCUCAGCAACCACGUGACCGUAUAUGCAGCUUGCCAGUAUGUCCUUACAGGCAGGAGUUCACCACACGUCCUCCCUACUUGCGCCUACAGGCCACGCCAGGUGCCUUGGGAUGCUUUGUAUUGCCAUUUCUGCCGGUCUUGUCCAUACCUUUUGAUAAUAUUUUGGGGAAUUUUCGUUUAUUUCAAUUGCAUUUUCCCAUUGAAAAACCGUGCGAAAAUGCAAAGUGUUCUACAAACUCUGGCAUGGAUUAAAAAGCAGAAAAGUUCCUUGUUCCUGAUCUGCCAGUGAAUAAUGAACUGCGCGGUGCCACUCCUAUUGAUAAAACCUAUGUGAUUUUGUACAUUCCAUCCAUUCUGUUUGGGUCUGGUUGGUUCAUGGAAUUGAAUAAAACCUUGUAAGGGCCAAUCCCCGAGAAUUCAGAGUCCCCAUUGCUAAUAUUAAGCCAUAUGUACGUUAAAAGUUAACUAUGAAAACACAAGAAUAUGAUCUAUCCAUGAUGUCGGCAAUAUAAUUUUUCUUCUCAUAUGUACACUUGUGCAUUAGACUUUUUUCUCAGAAACCUCCUAAGUGAUAAAAGGCGGAAUUAUCUUCUUUGUUUUUUCUUUAGUAUUGGAUCCAUUAUUCUUCAAAAUUGAUCUCGAAAUGUAUCAAUGUAUCCUUAAGUUUUUAAGGAACCUUAAUCAGUGAUUGACUUGUGCGAAUGACUGACAUAGAGAAGAAACCCAUUGCCAGCGAUUAAUUAGUAGGGUAGUAGCUCCGGUGACGAGUAAGAGGAAGAAGACGUGUCAAGGCAACCACCGAACUGCUACUUGCUGAGGUCACUAGAGUGAUUACGUGAGUGACUGGAGGGUUAUCAGAGGUGGAGAAGAUGGAAAGACUAAUUGUGGCUUAUCUCUAUAGUCAAAGAAGAUAGCAGGAAUGGUGGUCCAUACCUUCUCUAAUUGUCCAUCAAUUCUAUGCAAUUGGCCCAAGUUCCCUGCCCUUAUCACAGAAGAAUCUGUAUGGCACAGACUAUGGCUAUCACAAGAACAGUGGACAGAAGCAAAAGUAACAUAGAGGGCACCAACAGUGAAAACCAAUGUUCAACAGCAGCACACAGGAGAGCAUAUGGGCAUGCGAGCACCAAAUUUCAAUACAUAUGUAGAUAAAUGACACAGCAAAAGAGCAAGAGAAGAAGAAAAGAGGAAUCUGUUAUGUGGGCCAUCUGCUGUAGAGAACGAGAGCACCCGACAAUGGGCCAUGUAUGGCGGCACACUUGUAGUGCAGGGCAAGAUUGCCUUGACAGCCUUGCCACGGUUUGAAUACCCAAUUUAAUGGCAUGAACGAUUAAUAUUUUUUAAACUAGUGGCAUAUUACGGAGCUUUUCAUUAUUCAGUGACAGGUCUGGGGCCAGGGAACUAUUGAGUGGCCUGUAAGGAAAUAUACCUUUAGAAAAAUUGCAUAAAGUUUUGUCUGUGCGU